AGGAUCAUUCGCAAUGGACGGAAGUCUGACGAUGCGACGCUGCGUGGAGGAUGAAGGUCUUCGGAUCGUAAACUCCUGUCAUGAGGGAAAAGGCGAGGGGGCCCAAUACGCUCCUUAGUUGAUGGUACCUCAAGAGGAAGGGACGGCUCACUCUGUGCCAGCAGCCGCGGUAAUACAGAGGUCCCUAGCGUUGUUCGGAUUUACUGGGCGUAAAGGGCACGUAGGCGGCGAGGUGUGUCGAGUGUGAAAUCUCCGGGCUCAACCCGGAAAGUGCGCUCGAAACUGCCUUGCUGGAGUACGGGAGAGGGAAGGGGAAUGCAGGGUGUAGCGGUGAAAUGCGUUGAUAUCCUGCAGAACACCGGAGGCGAAGGCGCCUUCCUGGAACGUUACUGACGCUAAGGUGCGAAAGUCGGGGGAGCAAACA
rnacentral:rRNA from 1 species